UACGAAGGGGCUAGCGUUGUUCGGAAUUACUGGGCGUAAAGCGCGCGCAGGCGGUCUUCCAAGUCAGUGGUGAAAGCCCGGAGCUCAACUCCGGAACUGCCAUUGAAACUGUGAGACUUGAGGAUGAGAGAGGUGAGUGGAAUUCCCAGUGUAGAGGUGAAAUUCGUAGAUAUUGGGAAGAACACCGGUGGCGAAGGCGGCUCACUGGCUCAUUUCUGACGCUCAGGCGCGACAGCGUGGGGAUCGAAACAAGG
rnacentral:rRNA from 1 species